CCUACGGGUGGCAGCAGUGAGGAAUAUUGGUCAAUGGCCGAGAGGCUGAACCAGCCAAGUCGCGUGAGGGAUGACGGCCCUACGUGUUGUAAACCUCUUUUGUCGGGGAGCAAAGAGAGUCACGUGUGGCUCAGUUAGAUUACCCGAAGACAAACCAUCGGCUAACUCCGUGCCAGCAGCCUCGGUAAUACGGGGGAUGCGAGCGUUAUCCGGAUGUAUGGGGUUUAACGGGUGCGCGGGGGGGGGUGCCAGUCAGUGGUAAAAGUGCGGUGCUCAACCCCGUACUGCCUUUGAAACUGCAUGCCUUGAGUGAGCGAGAAGUAGGCGGAAGGAGUGGUGUAGCGGUGAAAUGCAUAGAUAGCACGCAGAACAUCGAGGGCGAAGGCAGCAUACCGGCGCGCAACUGACGCUCAGGCACGAAAGCGUGGGUAUCGAACAGGAUUAGAUACCCUUGUAGUC
rnacentral:rRNA from 1 species